rnacentral:rRNA from 1 species
AAAGGAAUAGACGGGGGCCCGCACAAGCGGUGGAGCAUGUGGUUUAAUUCGAAGCAACGCGAAGAACCUUACCAAGGCUUGACAUCCCUCCGACCGGUAUAGAGAUAUACCCUCCCUGCGGGGCGGAGGAGACAGGUGGUGCAUGGUUGUCGUCAGCUCGUGUCGUGAGAUGUUGGGUUAAGUCCCGCAACGAGCGCAACCCUUGCCUUUAGUAGCCAAUGCGUAGUGGCAGGCACACUAGAGGGACUGCCGUGGAUAACACGGAGGAAGGUGGGGAUGACGUCAAAUCAUCAUGCCCCUUAUGUCUUGGGCAACACACGUGCUACAAUGGCUCAUACAAAGUGAAGCAAGCCCGCGAGGGGGAGCAAAUCACAAAAGUGAGUCCCAGUUCGGAUUGCAGCCUGCAACCCGGCUGCAUGAAGUCGGAAUCGCUAGUAAUCGCGAAUCAGCAUGUCGCGGUGAAUACGUUCCCGGGCCUUGUACACACCGCCCGU